rnacentral:rRNA from 1 species
AACGAACGCUGGCGGCAGGCUUAACACAUGCAAGUCGAACGCAUCCUUCGGGGUGAGUGGCAGACGGGUGAGUAACGCGUGGGAACGUGCCCUUCAGUUCGGAAUAACCCAGGGAAACUUGGGCUAAUACCGGAUACGUGCGAGAGCAGAAAGAUUUAUCGCUGAAGGAUCGGCCCGCGUCUGAUUAGCUAGUUGGUGAGGUAAUGGCUCACCAAGGCGACGAUCAGUAGCUGGUCUGAGAGGAUGAUCAGCCACAUUGGGACUGAGGCACGGCCCAAACUCCUACGGGAGGCAGCAGUGGGGAAUAUUGGACAAUGGGCGCAAGCCUGAUCCAGCCAUGCCGCGUGAGUGAUGAAGGCCUUAGGGUUGUAAGGCUCUUUCAGUGGGGACGAUAAUGACGGUACCCGCAGAAGAAGCCCCGGCUAACUUCGUGCCAGCCGCCGCAGUAAUAC